rnacentral:rRNA from 1 species
AUUGAACGCUGGCGGCAGGCUUAACACAUGCAAGUCGAGCGAGCGGCGGAGGGGUGAGUAAUGUCUGGGAAACUGCCUGAUGGAGGGGUAUAACUACUGGAAACGGUAGCUAAUACCGCAUACUAGCAGAUGUGCCCAGAUGGGAGUAGCUUGUGGGUGGGGUAAUGGCUCAACUAGGCGACGAGCCCUAGCUGGUCUGAGAGGAUGACCAGCCACACUGGAACGGAGACACGGUCCAGACUCCUACGGGAGGCAGCAGUGGGGAAUAUUGCACAAUGGGCGCAAGCCUGAUGCAGCCAUGCCGCGUGUGUGAAGAAGGCCUUCGGGUUGUAAAGCACUUUCAGCGAGGAGGCGUUACUCGCAGAAGAAGCACCGGCUAACUCCGUGCCAGCCGCCGCGGUAAUAC